GACGAACGCUGGCGGCGUGCUUAACACAUGCAAGUCGAACGGAAAGGCCCUGCUUUUGUGGGGUGCUCGAGUGGCGAACGGGUGAGUAACACGUGAGUAACCUGCCCUUGACUUUGUGAUAACUUCAGGAAACUUGGGCUAAUACCGGAUAGGAGCUCCUGCUGCAUGGUGGGGGUUGGAAAUUUUCGGCGGUUGGGGAUGGACUCGCGGCUUAUCAGCUUGUUGGUGGGGUAUUGGCUUACCAAGGCUUUGACGGGUAGCCGGCCUGAGAGGGUGACCGGCCACAUUGGGACUGAGAUACGGCCCAGACUCCUACGGGAGGCAGCAGUGGGGAAUAUUGCACAAUGGGAGGAAGCCUGAUGCAGCAACGCCGCGUGCGGGAUGACGGCCUUCGGGUUGUAAACCGCUUUCGCCUGUGACGAAGCGUGAGUGACGGUAAUGGGUAAAGAAGCACCGGCUAACUACGUG
rnacentral:rRNA from 1 species